AUCACACCUAAACAUUUAGCUAUUUCUUAAUAUUAUCAAAUAUCUGAACUGUGUUCAGAUAUGUGACAAAUGGACUUGUUUCUCUUUUUAUUUUAUUUAUUUUUCUUUUUAUUUUUUUAAUCAUUGGUUUGCUUGAAGUUGGUAUCUGCCAAGGUUCUUAUAUUGCAUUUGGUUGCUAUUUAUUUGUCUCUUUUAAUCCAUAAGUUCCCCCUCCUUCGUUUUCCCUUUAAAUUCAUUAUUUAAGAAAUCUAGUUGUUUUGUCUUAUAGUUUCCUGUCACAUUCUGGAUUUUGUUGAUUGUAUCACUGUAAAGUAAUUUAACUUGUUUUUAUACUCCUUGUAUAGCCUGUAAACAGAUAGACUUGAUCAGAUUCUGGUUCAAUUUAUUUAAUGCCCUCUCUUGAAGCUGGGGGAACUCAUACUCCACAGAUGCCCAGAACUUCCAGAUUUGAGUCCCUACUGUAUUCCUCAAAGGAUGUGUAUCUCUUAUCAUAAGUAGCAUGUGAAGACUAUCAACCUACUUCAGUAAGAACAAUGGAUACAGACAUUUACAAGAUUGUGGUGACCUGUGUUACAGUUAGAAGUUGGUGAGAAAGGUCUGAGGCCUCAGGUCAUGGAGUUAAUCGGGGGUGUGAUUCCACAGGUGGGAGCCCAGUCAUGCAGCCCAGUCAACCAAUUCAAAGAGGUUGAACUAGCAGGUUCAUUAAUUUUGAGAAUACAUUUCUCAAGGCUCUUCAGGAAACUCAAAAUGUUCCAAUUUCUAAAGGAGCAUCUACUGAAACUCAUUUAUGAUGAGAGAAAAAACAGAAAAUGUAUGUAUACAUCCUGUGUCAAUACAACCAUCACUUCUGAGGUCUCAAGCAAUCAGAAAUUUACUGAGUUAUUCAAUAACCUGUAAGAAUUAGGCCAUUAAAAUGUAUUUUGAAAGCCCUUCAGAGCGCUUAUGUUUAGUAUGUCAUUAAUUGUAUCAGGGCAGUAAAAAUUACACUAAAUAUACUUAAUACCCUAGUCUCUCAGCAAUACUCCUAAAGAAAGCUUGCCUGUCAACGUGGAGAUUGAUGCAUGUAAAUGUUUAUUUGUAUUCUAUGUUUUUAUGCAUCAUGUGUGUACUUUAUUAUGCCUUGUUUUAUAGCAGGUAAAAGCAUGAGUAGAUAUAAUGAACUAUAAUGCUAAUUUAUUUGAUAUUGUAUUAAAACUAAUUAAGUACUUGUAAAGGACUACAACUCCACCAGAACAGGACUGAAUGAACAGGAUUGAGAACCAGUUUUUUUUUUUCCUUUUUUUUUUUUUUUUGAGAACCAGUUUUAAAAUCUAUGUUGAGACUAUCAGGCUGGUUGGUCAGUUGGUAUAGGAGCUGGCUUCCUGGAGAAUAUAAUGUAUAUAUGGAAAAGGACAUGGAGAUGAUUCACAGGAAUUUCUACUAAUAAUAUGUUCAUUAGAACAGGUCACGGGGAGGAAAAAUAGAUAAAAACAUCCAAACUAAUUGUACUGUUAAAGAUUUGCCUCUUGGAGUGAAAAGUUAAAGUACACCAAAUUUUGUCCCUGAACACUUUGAGAAAUAAAAGGAUUAGUGAAAUAAUUUUUUAUAUUUCUUUAUUUAUUUGGCUGUGUUAGGUCUUAGUUGUGGCAUGUGAGAUCUUCCUUGUGUUAACACAUCAACUCUAAUUGUGGCACAUGGGCCCCAGAGCACACGGACUCAGUAGCUGCAAUGUGCAGGUGUAGUUGCUCUGCAGCACGUGGGAUCUUAGUUCCCUGACCAGGGAUUGAACCCACAUCCUGCAUUGGAAGGUGGCUUCUUAACCAUUGGACCACCAGGGAAGUCCCAAGACAACUUUUAAAAGCUGCAUGUGCUUAACUUCUACUUUUGUUUUCCUAUCUGUGAGGCAUGGAAUGUCUGUUUCAUCAUAUUGAUGUUUUAACAGAUUUUUAGUUUUUCAUGAGCUGAAAGAUUUUGUAUGUACUUGUUAAUCUGGAUACUGUUCUCAUCAGUUCUAAUGCUGCCCCAUCCAGAAUUCAUUUUUUAAAGUCAAAAUUCACUGUUCACUUAAGCAUCUGGAUUAAAGUGGGCAGGUGUGGAGGAUGGGUGGUGGUGGUUUAGUCGUUAAAUUGAGUCUGACUCUUGCAACCCCAUGGACUGUAGCCUGCCAUGCUCCUCUGUCCAUCGGAUUCUCCAGGCAAGAAUACGGGAGUGGGUUGCCAUUUCCUUCUCCAGGGGAUCUUCCCGACCCAGGAAUCGAACCCUGGUCUCCUGUAUUGCAGGCAGAUUGUUUACUCACUGAGCUACGAGGGGUCCUUUUUGCCCUGUAGGCUUUCUUAGAGAGUUGGCUUAUCCAGGAUGAGGAAAAAGUAUGCUUUUGCAUGACUGAAGUCUUUCUAAAGUUUGCUUAUGUAAGCAUUUUGGGUUUAAAAGAGUUCAACCUUGGAAUUCCCUGUUGGUCCGGUGGUUAGGACUCCGUGCUUCCAUUGCAGAGGGCACGAGUUCAGUCCCUGGUCAGGAAACUAAAAUCCUGUAAAAAGCUCAACCUGAACUGUAUUUGAAUAUAUAGUACAAACAGCUUCAUUUAAUGGGAUAACAGCAGUCUCUAACCCAUCAAAUUAACCUCUAUCUCCUAAAUAACUUUCAAAAAAGCACAUGACUGGAAGGUAAUUUAUCACUGGCAAUGCUUUAUUCUGCUUAAAAAAUAGUAGGGGCUAAACUGUCAUAAAAACUUGUAAGCUUACACUGUACUUAUUUUACAGGGUAAAAAUUCUUAUGUUUUGUAAAAUGUUUUUAAAGGAGUCCACAAAGUAAUUCUGCUUUCUUGCUCCCAAAUGCAGAGGUCUGAGAGAAGGCACAUGGCCUCGUGAGCUUCUUGGUAUUGUCAAAUCCAGUUCUCUCUCAAGUACCAACUGCCCAGAUACUUUUACUGUGGAUGGAAGAGUCUUAACUAAAGCAGUAGUUGUUUUUUUUUUUUUUUAAUAUAGAAAAGCAUCUUCCCUGGUGAUCCAGUGGUUAGGACUCUGCCUUCCAAUGUGCGGGGGUGCUGGUUUCAUCCCCUCGGGGAGCUAAGAUCCUACGUGCCUCAUGGCCAAAAAACCAAAACCAAACAAAAGAGACUGAGAGAGAGAAGUAUCUUGAUUAAAGUGUGAGGAGAUAGAAAUCAUAUUAAUUUGGGCAAUUUCGGCUCCAAUAAUGUCUAAUUUGCUGUGAAAGGGGAACAUGUAUUAGGCUAAUGUUCUUCAAAGGAACUUCCAGUUUUCUCCUUAAAAAAUAUUUACUUUAUUAAAAAGUUGCUCAAGGAAGAGCUGUUUUAUUGCAUGGCACAGAUUCAGUGUAGAGAUGUUGUCUUAGAACUAUUAAUGAAGGAGUUCCCUUGUGACUUUGAAUAUUCAGUACCAGCUGUUAUUCACAUCAAUAUUUUAAUAUUUUACCAGCAAGAUACUUAAUAAAAAGGAUUGAUACAUAUUUAACUGUGUAAAGUGCUAGUUAAACUUGUUCAAAUGGGCCAGAGGGAAAGGGAAAUAACAUUCCUUGAGUACCUACUGUAUAUAUAAGCUCUAUUUAUAUAUCUUGCUUGAUCUUUACGACUGCUCCAUGAAGUAGAUUUUAUUUAUUUUUAUAGAUUUAUUUGACUGCGCCAGGUUUUAGUUGUGCCACACAGGAUCUUUAGCUGUGGCCUGUGGGAUCUAGUUCCCCGACCAGGGAUUGAACCCGGGUCCCCUGCAUUGGGAGCACAGAGUCUUAGCGACUGGACCUACCAGGGAAGUCCCUCCAUGAGGUAGAUUUUAAUUCUCAUUUUGCAAACGAGGAAACAAGGGUUAACUUUCCUGAAUAUACAUUGCUAAUAAAUGGCAGAGUUGGGAUUUGAACCUCAUUUCAACUUGAUUGCUCAGCCUGUUUUGCAGAAAAUCUCCCCUCAUAUUUCAUAAAAUGUUAGUCUCGGCCCUCAGUUGCAUCACCAUCUUUGUUUAUGGGCUACUGGAGAUAAGUUUAAGUUGGCCGAGCCUGUAUACCACAGUGGGAAAAUGUGAGUAGGAUUAGAAUGAGGUAAGAGUGGGUGGCUGCCUAGCCUGGGUGGCUAAGAUAGUAAAGAAUCUGCCUGCAGGGGCUUCCCUGGUGGUCCAGUGGUUAAGAAUCCACCUUACAGUGCAGGGACAUGGGUUGAUUCCUGAGCUGAGAAGAUCUCACAGGCCGAAGGGCAACUAAGCCUGGGUGCCCUAGAGCCAUGCUCUGCCACAAGAGAAGCCACCGAAAUGAGAAGCCCAUGUACCACAACUAGAGAGUAGCCCUCUCUCACAACUACUAGAGUAAGCCCAUAUGCAGCAACAAAGACCUAGCAGAGCAGAGCCAUAAAUAAAUAAAUUUAAAAAAAGGGAAUCUCCCUGAACGCAGGAGACAUGGCUACAGUCCAUGGGCUCCAGUCCUGGGUCAAGAAUUUCCCCUGGAGGAGGGCAUGGCAACCCACUCCAGUAUUCUUGCCUGGAGAAUCCCAUGGACAAGGAGCCUAAUGGGCUACAGUCCACAGGGUCACAAAAGAGUUGGACAGGACUAAAACUGCUAAAUAACAGCAACAAUAUAAGGGAAAAGGCUGAGGGGUCUAAUUUAUAUUUCACUCCAGAUCUACUGAGUUAAUUUUGAGAAGGAGUAUCCAAUGAUACUUUGUUGUGAGAAGGAAGAUCCAGUAAUGGAAAUGGUACAAGGAGAUGGCCUGGGGCCUGCUAAAAGUCAGGUUGCAAUUUCCAUAGCAUUCCAGACAAAAAAAAUAAACAGCUCUUUAAGAAGAAACUUCAAGUUUUCUCCAUUCACAUGUCAGCCCCAGGGUGGGAUGUUGUCUGACACUUCUAGAAUUGGUUAGAUCCGUGUUGUAACUGUAAAAUACACACUGGGUUUCAAAAGACUUAAUAAAAUAAUGUAAACUAUGCCACUUUUCUGUCACUUAUACAUUGAAAUGACAAUAUUUUGGAUAUAUUUUGGUAGAAUAAAAUAUAAUAUUAAAAGUAAUUUCACCUGUGUUUUUAAAUGUGGCUAAUAUUAGUGGAAAAUUUUAAACUACACAUGUGGCUUUCAUUUCAAUUGGAUGGCACUGGGAUGGAGAAUGGGCAGUGUUCCUUGAAGUUUUCUUCUAGAGGUGAAUACCUUAGAGUGGUAAAUAGGGAAAAGAAGAUUCUCAGUGCCAGUAUUUAAAGUCUUCCGUCAGUGGGAUGGAUAAAUUGGGGGACUAUGAUUGACAUAUACACUAUGUACAUAUACAUAUACUAUGUACACUAAUAAGGACCUACUGUAUAGCACAGGAAACUCUACUCAAUACUCUGUAAUAACCUCUGUGGGAAAAUAAUCUAAAGGAAUGGAUUUAUGUAUAACUGACUCACUGUGCUAUACAUCGA
ensembl:lncRNA